rnacentral:tmRNA from 1 species
GGGGGCGACUGGUAUCGACGGGCUCAGAAGCGGUCUGACGGUUGCAUGCCGAGGUUUCCGCUGCCUCGUAAAAAAGGCGGAUAGAAAUAACUGCCGCAUAAAUUACGGCACGCCGCUUCGCAAAACAGAAGCGGCCGUCCACUCCGGGAUUUGUCUUCCUACCGGGGAUCGGGCGCAAGAAGGAAGGCUGGCUGUGAAGCCCCGCUUUCAGACGUAAGCAGCGAGAUUAAAUGAAAGCUGGUCCCCCGGAGGUCGCCCGGAACCAAACGGGGACGAGAUUAAAUCCGGUCUAAGCAUGUAGAACCGACAGGUCCCUGUUUCCGGACGCGGGUUCGAAUCCCGCCGCCUCCACCA